GAUGAACGCUGGCGGCGUGCCUAAUACAUGCAAGUCGAGCGAACAGACGAGGAGCUUGCUCCUCUGACGUUAGCGGCGGACGGGUGAGUAACACGUGGAUAACCUACCUAUCAGACUGGGAUAACUUCGGGAAACCGGAGCUAAUACCGGAUAAUAUAUUGAACCGCAUGGUUCAAUAGUGAAAGACGGUUUUGCUGUCACUUCUAGCUGGAUCCGGGCCGCUUUAGCGAGUUGGUAAGGUAACGGCUUACCAAGGCAACGAUGCGUAGCCGACCUGAGAGGGGGAUCGGCCACAUUGGAAGGGAGACACGGUCCAGACUCCUACGGGAGGCAGCAGUAGGGAAUCUUCCGCAAUGGGCGAAAGCCUGACGGAGCAACGCCGCGUGAGAGAUGAAGGUCUUCGGAUCGUAAAACUCUGUUAUUAGGGAAGAACAAAUGUGUAAGUAAAUAUGCACGUCUUGACGGUACCUAAUCAGAAAGCCACGGCUAACUACGUG
rnacentral:rRNA from 1 species